rnacentral:rRNA from 1 species
UGUUCUUCGGAAUGAGAGACCGGCGCACGGGUGCGUAACGCGUAUGCAAUCUACCUUUUACAGAGGGAUAGCCCAGAGAAAUUUGGAUUAAUACCUCAUAGUAUUAUGACUCGGCAUCGAGAUAUAAUUAAAGUCACAACGGUAAAAGAUGAGCAUGCGUCCCAUUAGCUAGUUGGUAAGGUAACGGCUUACCAAGGCUACGAUGGGUAGGGGUCCUGAGAGGGAGAUCCCCCACACUGGUACUGAGACACGGACCAGACUCCUACGGGAGGCAGCAGCGAGGAAUAUUGGACAAUGGGCGCAAGCCUGAUCCAGCCAUGCCGCGUGCAGGAUGACGGUCCUAUGGAUUGUAAACUGCUUUUGCACAGGAAGAAACAACAUUACGUGUAAUGUCUUGACGGUACUGUGAGAAUAAGGAUCGGCUAACUCCGUGCCAGCAGCCGCGGUAAUACGGAGGAUCCAAGCGUUAUCCGGAAUCAUUGGGUUUAAAGGGUCCGUAGGCGGUUUAGUAAGUCAGUGGUGAAAGCCCAUCGCUCAACGGUGGAACGGCCAUUGAUACUGCUAGACUUGAAUUAUUAGGAAGUAACUAGAAUAUGUAGCGUAGCGGUGAAAUGCUUAGAGAUUACAUGGAAUACCAAUUGCGAAGGCAGGUUACUACUAAUGGAUU